GGACAGUCGACAGAAGAUAAAGGAUGCUUCGCAACCGGUGAGGAGGAAACGGAUAGAGUCGGCGUAUCUUGCAAGUAUUCAAUUACUUUAUUUUUGUGUUGUGAUCUCUGAGCUCCAGAUUGGGACAGAGGAAAGCAGCAUGAUUUAAUGUGAUGCAUUUGCUUGCCUGGUGUGUGGGGGUAUCUAAAGGGAUUUGCAACCAUGUUUUGAGGCCAGCUUGCUGGUACCCAAACGUUGUUACAUUUUUUAUCUUGGAUAUUCUAGUACGGCUUACGUGCAUUUUUUGUAUUGAUCUAGUGCAGUUACGUCGCAUGCAAAGUGCUUUUCUAUGUUCCGGCCGUUAAUGCUCUCGUCCCUCCCCCCAUGUAAACCGGGCAUCUAUUUGACCGUCUUGAAACCGGACCAAGAUUUAUCGUGUGCCCAGUUUUGGGAGUAAAACCCACAAGCGAAUGAAGUAAAUGACCUUUAGGUCUGAUGUGCAUCUUUUUUCAAAAAGGAUCAUGGCCCCAUCUACUGUUUCAGAGGGUGGCAAAGAGCGACGCGGUGAGACCGAAAGAUGUGAACUAUUCCUGAGCAGGACGAACCAGAGGAACUCUGGUGGAAGCCGAAGCGGUCUGACGUGCAAUCGAUCGUCUGACUUGGGUAUAGGGCGAAGACUAAUCGACCAUCUAGUACUGUUCCCUCCGAAAAACC
rnacentral:rRNA from 1 species